ACUCAAAUGAAUAGACGGGGGCCCGCACAAGCGGAGGAGCAUGUGGUUUAAUUCGAUGAUACGCGAGGAACCUUACCCGGGCUUGAACGUGAGACGAAUAUAUUGGGAAACUAUAUAGCCUACGGGCGUCUUGCGAGGUGCUGCAUGGUUGUCGUCAGCUCGUGCCGUGAGGUGUUAGGUUAAGUCCUGCAACGAGCGCAACCCUUACCUGUAGUUGCCAGCACGUUAUGGUGGGAACUCUACGGGAACUGCCUACGCAAGUAGCGAGGAAGGUGGGGAUGACGUCAAAUCAGCACGGCCCUUAUGUUCGGGGCUACACACGUGCUACAAUGGUAUGUACAGAGGGCAGCUACCACGCGAGUGGACGCUAAUCCUCAAAGCAUAUCUCAGUUCGGAUUGGAGUCUGUAACUCGACUCUAUGAAGUUGGAUUCGCUAGUAAUCGCGCAUCAGCCAUGGCGCGGUGAAUACGUUCCCGGGCCUUGCACACACCGCCCGU
rnacentral:rRNA from 1 species